rnacentral:rRNA from 1 species
AAUGAACGCUGGCGGCAGGCCUAACACAUGCAAGUCGAACGGGUCCUUCGGGACUAGUGGCGGACGGGUGAGUAACGCGUGGGAACAUACCCUUUGGUACGGAAUAGCCUCUGGAAACGGAGAGUAAUACCGUAUGUGCUCGUAAGAGGAAAGAUUUAUCGCCAAAGGAUUGGCCCGCGUUGGAUUAGGUAGUUGGUGGGGUAAUGGCCUACCAAGCCGACGAUCCAUAGCUGGUUUGAGAGGAUGAUCAGCCACACUGGGACUGAGACACGGCCCAGACUCCUACGGGAGGCAGCAGUGGGGAAUCUUAGACAAUGGGGGAAACCCUGAUCUAGCCAUGCCGCGUGAUCGAUGAAGGCCUUAGGGUUGUAAAGAUCUUUCAGUUGGGAAGAUAAUGACGGUACCAACAGAAGAAGCCCCGGCUAACUCCGUG